CUCAUGGGGAUCAUCAGAUAUCGGGGUCGCUCCCUUGGCUCAAAUCUCUGGUGAUAUUAUCUUUGGGGAUCGUGAUAUGCAUUAAGCACUUGCAUAUGGAUGCAUUGAUUGAGCAGAAACAACUCUUGAGAAACUCACGCCAUAGAAGUGCAAGGUGUUUGCACAUUGGGAGGUGUGUGUUUCUCGAUGGCAUGUAUUACCGCAGGCAAAAGAAGGCUUCUUCUGAUGCCAAUGGCAAUGUGUUAAUUCCUGGAGUUGCAACAUGUCUGAAUGGUAUUUCGCUUCCUCCUUCAAAUAGGGUUCAUGAUUGGGGAUAUGGCGAUACUGGAGAAUGGGGAAGUAUUUCUGCUCGCCAUGUCAAAUUGAUCAAUUUUCUUUCUUCGCUGCAUCAACACACUGCAAAUUCUUUGAUAAGCAGCGAAAUGGCAGCUGCUAACACAGACAGUCCUUUGGAGCAAACAAAACAAAAGGACAGCACAGCAAUAAUAGUUCUUGAUUCUGACAACGAGGAUGAAGACGCAGAAGGAUGUGGACAGCUCACAUCUAUCAACAAUAACCAACUGACAGCAUCUGGAUCAACUAGUCCUUACACAACAUGGAUUGUAUCUGGAGCAAAAGACCAAGUAAAUGGAACCUUGCAUGCUUAUGGAGACCAAAGCACUCAAAUUGUUCCAUAUGGUCAGAAUGCACCUUUAAUCAAUCAGUUUCCGCUGCAAACCAGCUAUCAACCAUCUUUGCUAUUUGAAAAGGUUAUAUUGCAGAAAAAACCUGAGGAGCAACGUAUUCAAGAUCUGCUGGCUGCUAGCCAUGCAGAGAAGAUAGCAGAAACACAAGUUCUCCCUACUCUUCCUACUGAGAGAAAACGAAGGAAAUCAGAUCCCAAUCCCAGCACCCCUGUAGAUGGAGAUGCGGGAACUGCCCUAGGAAAAAGAAAAAGAAAAAACCAGCCAAAUCAAGCAGCAGUUGAUUCCACCUUGGAUUUGCAGCAAAAUGAUGUUCCGUCACAAAGCUACAGGACUGAAAUAGAAGAGGAGGAACCUGUAAAAGAAAGUGAUGGGCUCGACGAUCUUUGGAAAGAUUUUUCAUUGGCAGCUGAAUGUACAAAGCUUGACACACAUGAAGACAUGUCCAAUGAAAAUGAAGUGGAUGAUGAAAAAGAGAUGGAUGACGACUGCAAUCAUGACAUUCGGAUUCAUGAAGAUCUAGGCCAUGUAUGCCGUAUCUGUGGCAUGAUUGUUAGAAAGGCUGAAACGAUAAUUGAUUAUCAGUGGAAAAAGGCCUCAAGGACAAGAACAAAUUACUAUGAAUCACGUUCAAAGGAUGCUGAUGAGAUUGAUACUGGUGCUGUUAAAUUUUCUGAAGAUUUCAUUGUCUCUGAUAUUGCCAUUCAUCCAAGACAUGCGAAGCAAAUGAGACCACAUCAGUUGGAAGGAUUCAACUUCCUGGUCAAGAAUCUAGUUGGUGAUAAGCCUGGUGGUUGCAUUCUAGCCCAUGCCCCUGGUUCAGGGAAGACAUUUAUGCUCAUAAGUUUCAUUCAAAGUUUUUUAGCAAAGUAUCCUUCUGCAAGGCCCCUUGUUGUGCUCCCUAAAGGGAUUUUAGGUACUUGGAAGAGGGAGUUUCAGCGGUGGCAAGUGGAGGACAUACCACUGUAUGAUUUCUAUUCUGUUAAGGCUGACAAAAGAACAGAGCAACUGGAAGUCCUCAAAUCGUGGGAAGCCCAGAUGAGCAUACUGUUUCUCGGAUACAAGCAGUUUUCACGAAUCAUCUGCGGUGAUGCAGGUGGAAACAUUGCAGCUGCAUGCCGAGACAGGCUGCUUAUGGUCCCCAACCUACUUAUACUGGAUGAAGGUCAUACACCAAGAAAUCGGGAGACUGAUGUACUGGCAUCACUAAAAAGAGUCCAAACACCACGCAAAGUGGUCUUGUCAGGCACACUUUUCCAGAAUCAUGUUUCUGAAGUGUUUAACAUCUUGGACCUCGUGCGUCCUAAGUUUCUCAAGAUGGAAUCAUCCCGUCCUAUUGCUAGACGUAUAAUGAGUCAGGUUGCAAUAUCAGGUGGCAGGAGUUUAAAAGGGGUUCCUGACAGUGCAUUCACUGAGAUAGUAGAAAACACCCUGCUGAAUGACGACAACUUCACUAGAAAAGCCAAUGUUAUUAGAAGUCUUAGAGAUUUAACAAAAGAUGUGCUUCACUAUUAUAAGGGUGAUAUCUUAGAUGAACUACCUGGCCUAGUGGAUUUCAGUGUGUUCUUGAAACUCACUCCCAAGCAGAAAGACAUUGUUCACAAGAUAGAAGCCUAUGAAAAGUUCAAAAGAAGUGCAGUGGGGACUGCAUUGUACAUUCAUCCUUGUCUGUCAGAAAUUUCAGAGGGUGCUGCUGCAGAUAGGGCGAUCAACUUGACAGAUGCAACUGUUGAUGGCUUGAUUGAGUCUAUCAACAUAAGAGAUGGGGUGAAGGCCAGAUUUUUCAUGAAUAUUCUGUCUCUUGCUAAUUCUGCAGGAGAGAAGUUGCUUGCCUUCAGUCAAUAUAUACUUCCGAUGAAAUUUUUGGAAAGAUUGCUGGUUAAGAUGUUGGGAUGGCAUGUGGGGAAGGAGAUUUUCAUGAUAUCUGGUGAUACUAAUCCAGAAGACAGAGAAUUAGCGAUGGAACAGUUUAACAACUCCCCCGAUGCAAAAGUUUUGUUUGGUUCUAUCAAGGCCUGUGGUGAGGGCAUCUCCCUUGUUGGUGCAUCAAGGGUCAUCAUUCUAGAUGUUCACUUGAACCCAUCUGUUACCCGUCAAGCAAUUGGACGUGCAUUCAGGCCUGGACAGCAGAAGAAAGUGUUUGUUUACAGGCUUGUUGCCGCUGGUUCUCCAGAGGAAAAGUUCCAUGAAACUGCUUUCAAGAAAGAAGUUAUACCAAAGCUAUGGUUCGAAUGGAGUGAGCAUUGCACUACUGAAGACUUCAAACUGAAUCAAGUUGAUAUUGAUGAUUCUGAAGAUCAAUUACUGGAGGCUAAUGCAAUUCGCCAUGAUAUCAAGGCUCUGUAUAGAAGGUAACAAGCUGUGUGGCUGCUGUACACCAUAUGUACAUAAUGCAAUGCUGAUCUUUAUAGACGACCAUUGCUGUUAAGGUGUUACGGUAGCCAGUCCCAAUCCCUGAAUUCAUAACAAGCUAGGAUUUUUUCCGUUAAAUCUCGGUCAUUUCACCAACCUAUGGCCACUUUGUAAUAUGUGCCAACUUGGUUUAGCGGCUAGCGAGCCGAUCCUCGACUUAUUUCGUAAUGAAGAUUCCCAGAAUUAAUAACUAUGGUUUCUGCCUUUCCGUUCCUGCAUGGAAAAACAACUUGAUAAUGUCACUGUUUUCUCGCCAACAUUGUGGACUCGACUUCUCUU